CAUGAGACCAAAUUCUAUUAAACUCAUUUACUAAUUAACAAUGAAGGGAGAUUUCCCUUUAAAUAGACUAACAAGAAGAUAAACAAUAACUAAGCAAAGAAAAACCUCUCUCUACACUCGGACUUUUCUUACGUUAUCUCUUAUCCCUAUUUUCUCUUUUAACCUAUUUUCUCUCUAUUAACUUUACGUGCCAAAGAUUUGCUUCUAAAAUAGUUAGCUCACGUUUUACCCAUAGCCUCUCAACGUUGGUUAUUGUUGAAAAGUUAAACCCUCUAGAUUUAUCCUUAUCCUAUUUAUAUUCCUCAAACUAACCAACCCAAUUGAUCAAUAU
rnacentral:lncRNA from 1 species